rnacentral:lncRNA from 1 species
UCAUGUAGUACAUUGAAUCAUCAUCACAUACAUUUCAACUUAACAUGCAUCAUAUAGUCAUUCUUAUCUCAUAUGGUAUAUUGUAUCAACAUGAUAUACAUUACAAAAUAGUAUACAUCAUGUGCUCAUUCUUAUCUCAUAUAGUAUGCAGAAACAACAUCAUAUACAUGGUGACAUUAUGUAUUCAUUAUCAUCUCAUAUUGUCACGACUCGGUACUCCCAUCGAGCCUAUGACAACCGUCGCGAUGUCUCGACUGACAUUCAUUACCCGGAAUGCCAACCGAAACCUCACAAGGCUUUCGCAUCAGUUUUACUUCUCCCCUGUGAGCAACAAUUAUUAGAUACCAUGUUUUAAAGAAAUAUAGACCAAUUUCAAAUCAAAAACAAUUAAAAAGUAAUUUCUACUACACAAGGGGUAUUUUGGUCAUUUUACCCAAAAUUUUUGAACUUUGGUAAAAAUAUGAUACACGAGUAAUAAGCAUCCAUUUCAUGUCUAAAAAUAAGUUUCGUUGUCUAAUUCAUCAAUUUAAAGUGAAAUUAUAGCUAUUCAAAUUAAAUCAAAAUAUUAAAGAAAAUAUUCUAUUUUCUUAUAAAAUAAUAUUUAUAGAACUCUGCGUAAAUAAUUUUGUAGCGUAAAAGCAAAAUAAAUUCAUACAUAUAGUGGCACACACAGCCAGGUAUACAAAAUAUUCUACAAUGACAUGUGGGCCCCCAAAAUAAACAUAUAUGUACAAGACUAUAGACUUGCAAUUUCUAAGGGUGCAAACCCAAAAGCAAACCCUCGACAUAAUCAGCGAUCUACAGACUGCCUUGAGCUUGAAAUGGGUGAAAAGAAGGGGUGAGUUUUUAUAAACCCAAUGAGUAAGCAAGAUUUCAUCUAAAACAUCUAAAGCCGAGUAAAUGGAGACAAUUUAAAAUAUCUCAUCAUAAUAUGAUUCAUAACAUCAAAUCUCAUUUCAUUUCAUAAAAAUCAACAAGGCUUAUGAUUCUCGUAAAAACUUGCACUCGGUGACACCUUGCGUCGAGGCAUCCAACAAAGUCCGCUAAGGCUGUUAAAACAACAUAUACACAUAAAAAAAGUUUUUACGUUUAAAACAUAGUCGUUCCUUGGCGUUGGCUGAGUUUCACCUUCACGUGGUGGUUCGGCGUGAAGUGAACUCUAACGUUACCUUAGGAGAUACCCUCUGUGCCUCUCGUACUAAGGUAAAAUAUAACGAGGUUUACCGUGCCCUCUCAUAGGCUGGUCCACAGAAACCCGCCCACUGCAGUAAGUUAAAUACAUAACCCACCAAAUCAAUAAAAUUUCGACAGCAUAACAUGGCUAAUAUAAUAUUACCAGCCUAUCAAGGCAAAGCAAAACAGUUCAUAUAUUCCACACAAACACAAAUCUAGCCAUGCUUUCCAUCACAUUGUCAUAAGCCAUCAAUUCAAACCAUAUGUCAAAACAUAUAUAUCACACAAGUAUAUAGUCUCCACUUACUCAAUUUCCAAAAUCAGUAUUCAAUUUCAAAACAAGUUAUAAAUCUCAUUUUAUUUAAUCAACACUUCAAUUAUAAAACAUAAUAGUUUGCAAUUUAAAUUCAUUUUUUCUUUAAAACAUAAAAACGAGUAUAACUACUUUAGAUAGCUAAGAUGAAAGUUUGAUUACUCACAAUAGCAGGAGUUUGGAGUACUCCUAUUCUUGGUCCUCAAGUAUGAUAUCUUUACUCUUAUUAGAAGGCUCACCACCUAUACAUAAUACACGACACGUAAUUCAAUAUAUUUGUGUCAAACCAUCAUAAGACUAUUUCAGGCUCUAUAUGAAUGCAUGAAAUGGAAUAAAAAUUGUUCGAAUAAUCACUUAAAGACGGUGAUCUAUGUGGGUUCAAUUAUGGUCGAACUAAACUUGUAUUUGACCUAACUCAAGCUAUACACUGUUGAAUUAACCAAAACAUCCGAUUCAACUUCAAAUAUAUUCAUUACACUUCCAAUAUUCUAAAUACACCAAAGUACCUCAAUAAGCUUGAUUGUAACUUAAUUCAUUAUAACCGAAAUUCAUUCUGAUUCUGGACUAACUUGCUAAUCAGUGUCAACAUGGUCCAAUAAAUCCAUCUAUAUCAUUAGGAAUCAAAUCCAAGUCCAUUCACUAUGAUUUUCUCAUUAUUGUUCAAAUCGUUUACUAAAGGAACCAUACGUUUCCAUAACCGUUUUCAAUAUCCGGCACCAUAAUUCAUCUAAUACAAGCUAAAUAAUAUGAGAUAUAACAAGAUUCAUCAUCAAUGUGUACUUUAGUAAAUUCGGCCCAGGAAGGUUUGAUGAAGAACAUGUGGUUUUCAUGCUUGUUUUUCACACCGAGUAUCACAAAACAACUAAAAACGCGUAUAUAGCAUGAAAUCUAACAAAACUCGUGAUCAAAACCUCUCCCCCUAGGUUCGGCCAGCAAACUUUCCUUCAUGAAAUCUUGAGUUUCAACUAUGGAAAAUGAAAAGGAGAGCAUGGGAAAGGUAGAUCUUAAGCUAAAAUUGAAACAUCUUACCUUUAAUUGCUUUGUCCUCUGAAAUUCCACAAAUUUCUCUUGAAUUUUCCUCUCUAGGGUUUGUUUCCAUUCUUUUCUCUUUGUUUCCUUGCUUGGCCG